AGUUCUGGGCAAAGAAAACCCUGCUGCUGAGUGCUCUGAGGCUCGUUUUGUGGGUUUUUUUCUGUUGUGCUUCCUGCGGUCUCCACAGAAGCAGCUUCCCUGGAGAACAGCAAGCUCGUCAGCUGCCACAACAGCUAUGCCACCACCCUAGCAUGGCCUGGGGGCUGCCUUGCCAUCAGAACACUGCUGGUGCCAACCCACACCUCUUCCUGGGGUGCUACUCAACCUCCAGCCUACAGGGGCUGGAGUAUGGGGGCCAGCGUGGAGAUGCCCAUGGGAAACCCGGGGUCCUGCACGGUGAGCUUGAGCCUCACGACCACACUUCCCGCCUGGAGAGACACGAUCUGCAUUCUCAGCUUCCCACUUCGGUACAAGUCAGACACCACUGGUGGGAAGGAGCUCUCGACCUAGCCAAGAAGAGGCAACAGCAGACAUCCAUCAACGUCUUCACGACCAUUAAGCAGGGUUCCAGGUGUGACCGAUGGAUGGUGCUUGGAGCCAUUUCUCUCCUCUACAAUCAAGAGGAGGCACCUGACGACCGACCUCUCAGAGCACGCAGAGAAGUCCGUUCACAGCACCUUAGCUGGGCUUUCCCUGGGACGGCCGGGCCUGGCCUGGUGUGUGCUGGGGACUCACAGUGACCACUGCAAUCAAGCUCCCAGUUGUGGAGCAUCAGAUGGACAAUCCCCUCUGAGUGUCCUGAAAACUGGUGCGAAGGUCAUUUGUGUGAGCGUGUGAGAAAGACUGAUUGAUUGAUAGAUGGAGAGGCCCCACCAAGGAACAAUGCCUAUGGCUAUUUGGAGCUGUCCCCCCUCUUACUAGGCUGUAUCCCACACAAAACACGCACACAGAGCCAGGUGCUUAGGGCUACCCAUGCCCAAGCAAGGGAGAUACCAGCCUGGUUCCCUGCCUUUGUGCCAACCCAUACUUGCACACACAAGUGAGUUAACAUUUCAAAAGGGAGGGAAUUCUCUGAAAACAUUGAAAACCAGAUUCCUCCUCCAGGCAAAUGUUGGGAAGCAACACUCUGUGGGUCUCUGGCAUUUCUACACAUCUUGCAAGUAGACGCACUAACUGCCCUUUUGUUCCAGAAUAUCUUUCCAAGGAUGUUUGCAUAGUGAACAGCCUUGGGAGGGAGAGAUAUUGGCUCCCUCCAGAGCAAAGGGCAGGUUUGUUACUGUCUGAUGUAACAGAUAAUGUCUCCUUCUGGAGCCAGUGCUUGCACCCAUUAUAAAAGAUUCAGGUUCCCUAGAGUUGGGGUUCCUCAGCUCAGGUGCAGACCCACUUUGUGUGCUUCAUGCCCCUGGUCCCCUCUGCAUCACCUCUGCGGGACUCGGGUGCAGGAAGGGGAACCGGCACAGCAGCACACGCAUGCUGCCUGCUGUGCUGGAGUAAUACAGUCUUCCGUCUCUGGCCCAGGAGUCUCGUGUCUUCUGCCAGCAUCCAUGAAACUGUGGCAGACUCACUUGUUAGUUUGCAGGGAGGGUAAAACCUCAGACUUUAUGUGAUUCUUGGCAGUUUAGGAAGUCACUUCUCCCUCCAAUGCACCAUCUGUGGAUAGAUGGUGCUUCCCACUGGCUUGCUUCUCCCUGGCUGUCUGCUGAUGUCUCCCUUUAGUCACGAGGGAGGAAUGGAUGCCAUGAUUGUUGGUAAAUGCUUCACUAAUGAAGCUACCCCAUAGCUGGAAGCCAGGGCCCUCAGACAGAAGGUUCCACAGAAAAUCCAACAGUAGGAGUAAGUGGUGUACACCAUUUGAAUAAAGGCACAUAUCUUAAAGAUGGAUUGGCCCAGUAUCUGGAUUAAGUACCCCAUAAAAGCAGGGGGAAAGCUUUUGACUAAUCACUGUGCGAUUUGGGUUUGGCCUCCCCUGAAGCUGCAGUAACAUGUAUUUUUGCCACAAUCCCAGAGGAAGAGCUGGGCAGGAAUUAACGGCUUGUGUUUGAUGUCCUCACUCAGAACACCCAAGAAAAGAUUUCUGUCUGCAUUGUGGCUUUACCUCGUGAAGCAGUUGUCUAGAAAAGUCCUGGUACUCCACACUGCUGCGGUUGAGUAACUUCUCCGUCAGGUUGUGGUUUACAAUCUUUAUUGUGACUUCAAAUACCUGGGCAUCUGAGACAGACAGUGAAACAAAUUAGCCUGUG
rnacentral:lncRNA from 10 species